rnacentral:rRNA from 1 species
UACGUAGGCAGCGAGCGUUUGUUCGGAGUUACUGGGCGUAAAGGGUGUGUAGGCGGUUUUCUAAGUUUGGUGUGAAAUCUCCCGGCUCAACCGGGGAGGGUGCGCCGAAAACUGGGGAGACUAGAGUGCGGGAUGGGAGAGUAGAAUUCCUGGUGUAGCGGUGAAAUGCGUAGAUAUCAGGAGGAAUACCGGUGGUGUAGACGGCUCUCUGGACCGCCACUGACGCUGAGACACGAAAAGCGUGGGUAGCAAACAGG